UCUCACAAAUGGUGUGUGUAUGUGUGU
rnacentral:piRNA from 1 species